CCUUCGUCAGCCGGCGGAGCUCGGCAGUUCUCUGUCUCGCUAUGUGCCCACUCCCGGCUCUUCGUCUAAGUGACCGACUGGAGCACGCUGCAUGAAGAGCAGAUGGGAACCUUAAUCCAUCUCUUUAGUAUUCUGCAGUUAUGGGAGCAAGAAAAAAAAAGGUUGGGAAAAUGCCCGUUCUUCCGUGCUUCUCGAGGUGUAUGAAAGACACGGUCAGUGCCACAUGAAUGUUGAGAACGAGAGCGCUGAGCUGAUGUCCUGUGCCGAGAGGCAAGGGAUAGCCUUGCGAAAGGAAGGACGAACGAAAUGCACCGAAAAGGGACUUCAUUCCGCGGUUCGUUUGUCCGUUUCCUCCAGUGGUCUCUCCCAUUCUGAUCACUCCUUUUUCUUUUCUUUUCUUCUUUUCUUUUCCUUUCUUUUCUUUCCUUUUCUUUCAUUUUCUUUCCUUUUCUCACCUUUUCUUUUCUUUUCCUUUUCUUUUUUUCUCUGCUCUUCUCUUAAUUUCUUUUUUCCUUUCCUUUCCUUUCCUUUCCUUUCCUUUCCUUUCCUUUCCUUUCCUUUCCUUUCCUUUCCUUUCCUUUCCUUUCCUUUCCUUUCCUUUCCUUUCCUUUCCUUUCCUUUCCUUUCCUUUCCUUUCCUUUCCUCUCCUCUCCUCUCCUCUCCUCUCCUCUCCUCUCCUCUCCUCUCCUCUCCUCUCCUCUCCUCUCCUCUCCUCUCCUCUCCUCUCCUCUCCUCUCCUCUCCUCUCCUUUCUUCUUUCCCUUUUUUCCCCCACUCUUUUCUUUUCCUUUCUUUUCCUUUCUUCUUUUGCUUUCUUCUCCUUCCCUUCCCUUCCCUUCCUAUGUAUAUAUGUGCAUUUUCCUUCUGCCAGUAACUCCAGGUUCUCCUUGCAACCUGUGAUAAGCUUCACUGCUGCAGGGAAGAGCCGGAUAUAACAUGCCUUUUGGAAGCCACCAUCUUUCCCUUUCUCUCCGCCAACCACCCGCGGCCUGGCGGUUCCUCCAGCGCUCAGCAGUUCCCCGUGCCGGGCGGGGGGCCGCCUGGUUCUCCCUCACCCUGACCUCAACGCGGCGCCGGGCAGGGAAAUCACCGCCUCGCUCUCACGGGCUGCAAGGGGGGAGGGGGGGGGGGGGGAGAAGGGAGGGCAGCGCUCGAGGGGGGGGCACGCAUCGUAUCACGUCACGUCGAUCGCAUCACAUCCCAUCGCACAGCAUCGCAUCGCGUCCCACUGUGCGUGUUCAUUGACGCAUGUUUAUAUGUAUCAUAUGUUUUCUAUACGUUUAAUAUGUAAAGUGCGUGUUUAAAUAUACCUUAUUUAUGUUUAUGUUUUAAUACGCCAGAUUUAUUGCAGUUCUCGGAGCUCACGAUGCAAAUAAAGGCAAGUUUCAGGGCUGAUUCUCUUAUUCAAUAAGCCAGCUGAAAUAAUGCAAUAUACGUUCGUUGGUAUUGAUUUGGUGUCUAUUAACGGUACGUGCAGAUCUGUACGGCUAUUUCCACACACGCACAGCCGCGUGGGGCUCCGUGCCCCCUCCCCACCGAGCGCCGGGUGUGGAGCCGUAGGCUGAGGGUCAGAGCCGGCACCAAAGCAAUAGAUAAAGAGGAGAGGCAAAUUGAACCGAACGGAACGAAAUAAAUUAAAUUAAUAAAAUAAAAGAACUAAACGAAACUAAAAGCAAUCUAAAAACUAAAAGCACCGCUGUUUUGCUUUGUUUUGUUUUGUUUUGUUUUUUAGCCACCGAGGUUUUGUCACGUUUCUCUCCGAGAGCUGCUGAGCUCCGGGACAGGGAAGCUCCGCUCCGGUGUGAGGCUGCGGGGGAAGGAUGCGGCACCCGGGGGCUGGGGAGGGGCGCUGCGAGCCCCGGAGCCGCCCGUUACCUGCCCCGCGGACGGAUGCCUGUGGCUGCGGGCGGUGACAGCUCUCCGCGGGUCGCACCUUGUAAUGAGGGCCCGCCCCGGCCACCCGGCGGCGGCUCUGCUGAUGUUCGCUUCGCCGCUCCCACCCCGCCCGGCUGUUGGAUCGGGGAGAGGCGCUGGGCUGCCGCACGGAGCCAAAAGCAGUUCCCCCGGUGGCUUCCAAAAUAGUAAUAAUAAUAACAAUAGUAAUAAUAAUCCGCCGGCUGCAAACAAGACCCGACUCCCCUCUUCACCUCGGGGCUGGCACCUGGACCUCCCCUCAUCGAGUCACCUUAUUACUUAGCAAGGAGUCAAAGUUGGCAACAUCCCCCGGCCCCUCCCGACGACAUACCCGGGUGUUCCCCUCCCUGUGCCUCACGGACAGCCCGAAUGUGCGCUCUCCCAGAACGGAGCACUCGAAGGAUUCCCAGCCGGGAUCCGGCCCCUGCCGCGCAACCCCCACUUCGGCCCCCCCGGCCCCACAGCCCCCGGCGGGCCCUACCUGCAGUCAUGGAAGCGUUUAGCGGUUUCGGCGGCAGUAACUCCUAACAGGGUGUGAAAUGUAUUGCGGAUUGAAAAAGCGAUGGGAACGUGGAGGCUUUUCAAGUCGGGCGGGCCGGGGCGUUCCUCCCCCUCCGGCGGACACCUCGCGUUGCCUCCGCCGCUGGCACCCGCCCCGCCUCGGCAGGUGCGGUGCCUCUGGGGCCGGGCACAAGGCACGAGUCCAGCCCCGCAGACGCUCUCCCAGGCCAAAAACCUGAGGUCUCCUCUGUUCCCAGCAUGCUCUGGUCGAUCUUUUUUUUUUUUUUUUUUUUUUUUUUUUUUUUCCCUCUUUUUAAAUUCUUUCUUUCUUUCUUUCUUUCUUUAUUUCUUUCUUUCUUUCUUUCUUUCUUUCUUUCUUUCUUUCUUUCUUUCUUUCUCUCUCUCUCUCUCUCUCUCUCUCUUUCUUUCUUUCUUUCUUUCUUUCUUUAAGUUUAAAAUGUGACAGGAUAAACUCGGGGUGAAUAGUUCACCUCCUCCACGGCAUAAUUUUAGUUCGGGUUGUCCCCGUCGGAGCCAACAGCUGAGCCGCGCCCACCUUCGGUCCCCCCGCGCACCGCCCGCACAUGGGAAGGCUGGCGCUUACCUGCCUCGGCGGGAGGGGCACCGGGACACGGCCACGCCAGGAGUGUCCCCAGCUCCGCCCCGAGUGCCGCGGGGCCUCCCCGCUCCGUGUGGCCGUCGAGGAACCCCGAUAAGAAAAGGCUGCUCCUGGAAAUGCUUGAGACUGAGCAUCAGGGAGCGGCUUUAAACGAGCAAGCAAAAAAAAAGAGGGAAAAAAAAGCCCCCCUCCGACCUCUGAUUGAAGGACAGUUAAAAAUAAUUGCCCGUGUUAAGAGGCAGAGGGGGAGGUAACGAGGAAAACUGCCUUCUUUCAAAGCCCGCUAAUGGCCAUGGCCAUGCGAUUCAUUAGGUCACUUAAUCCUAAUAGACCCUCUGGCAUCUGCGCCGCUGACCCGGCGCGCCGAGCACCACCAGCGCAGCCCCAUCAAACAGGGCAAUGCCCCACGCCGAGCUCCUGAACCGCUGUGUGCGGGGAGAGGGCUGUGGGCAGCGCUGGGGCAGAGCGGGGCUCCGGGCGCUGCCCCUCUCGCAGCCAAACGAUGGCUCUGGUUGUGGCGUUUUCCCCCUCCCAUUAAACAUCAGCCUCGGAGACCGCGCAGUGUCACCCCGAGCGCACGGGGUCGAAGAGAGCCACUCUUGACCGGUGCCGUCGCUCCGCUGCUGCAGCUGACAAAGCCUCAUUAUUAAAUACUCCUUCCUUCCUUCCUUCCUUCCUUCCUUCCUUCCUUCCUUCCUUCCUUCCUUCCUUCCUUCCUUCCUUCCUUCCUUCCUUCCUUCCUUCCUUCCUUCCUUCCUUCCUUCCUCCCUCCCUCCCUCCCUCCCUUCCUCUCCUUCUACCUUUCCUUCUUUCCUUCUCUGUAUUUAUCUCCCUUUCUCUCUUUCCUUUUCCUUUUUUCCUCCCUCCCUCCCUCCCUCCCUCCCUCCCUCCCUCUACUUCUUCCUUUCCUUUCCUUCUCUGUAUUUAUCUCUCUCUCUCUCCCUUUUCUUUUCCCUUUUUCCUCAAGGGCUUUUUCUUUUAACUUGUAAAAUGUUGUUCUGCCAUGGAACUUGUCAUAACAGGAUCUUGUUCUCUUUAUUGAGUUAUUUAUUUUUCUAACGCACAACAAUAUCCCCAAUGCGAUCCUUUGAUGGAGUUUCCAAACGGGAGAAUGGGAGAAAAAAAUCUGCAGAGAAAGAGGAGGAGAGAGGGGGAAAGAGGGGAAGAAGGGAGGAAGAAAAGAAGGGACGGAGGGAGGGAGGGAGGGAGGGAGGAAGGAAGGGAGGAAGGGAGGAAGGAAGGAAGGAAGGGAGGAAGGGAGGAAGGGAGGAAGGAAGGAAGGAAGGAAGGAAGGAAGGAAGGAAGGAAGGAAGGAAGGGAGGGAGGGAGGGAGGAAGGAAGGAAGGAAGGAAGGAAGGAAGGAAGGAAGGAAGGAAGGAGACUAAGAGAGAAAGAGGGAAAGAAAGAGAGAGAAAGAUAGGAAAGGAGAGAGAGGGAAAGGAAGAAAUGAAGGAAGAAAGGGAGAGAGAAAGAGAAAAAGGAAAAGAGCAGCACAGGCCGGCCCUUCCAAAUUAAAACAAGAAGCCCCGAAGUUUUCUUUUUGGUAUUAAUAUUAUUUAACAUUUAAAAAUCCGGGAACUUCAAACAAACUUUCUACAGGGAAAAGAAAGAGCAAAGAUCUGUUCUCUGGAAACCAUUUGUUCACAACUCGAACUGUGCCAUUUUGGCUUCGUAACAAAACUGAAGGCGCCCAGCCCUGCUCCCCCCCCCCCCCCCUCUCCCCCCCGGCAUAUAUCUUUUCAGCACACAUUUUAAAAUAAAUAUUCUUACGAGGCUUUCCAGAAUGCCUCCUUGUUAUGAAUUGAUAGGAUACAACAUCCCGCAGCUGCGCCUGGAAGUCGAGAUUCGGUCCCUUCAACACCGGCACAACAUCUGCGGGGAAAACCAUUACCGCUGCUCCCUCCGCCCCGCGGCCGCGGAUGGCAGCGCGCUGCCGGUGGAGGGCCGGGCCGUGGGCACGGGGAGCCGCUCCGUGCAGCCGGGCGGCCCCCUCGGAUGUCGAGCAUAGAAAGUGGCCCUUUUCCCCCCUUUUUAAAAUAUAUAUCUUCAUUUUUUUUUCCCCCGUCUCUUUCCUCGAGCCCUUUUAGCAUUACCAAUCUUCCCGUCCAGCUGCUCAGCAAGUAAAAAUAAACCCAAGCACGCUCAGUAAAGCCGUCCCUGCAGAUUUUAAGAAAAUAAUAAUAAUAAUAAUAACUAAUAAACAAACCCAGGGGUCUAUUCGGGUGUCUCCAGCCUGAGAAACGCGGGCCGAAUCCUCCCGGGUUCUGGUCCCGCUCUAGGAUGAAUUCAGCCUUCAGGACAUUUUCGCAGCGCAUUCGCUCAGCGAGGCUUUCCUGCUGAGAAAUGCCGUCCGCCGACAGCGUUUAUUAUUUACGAAAGCAGAAAGCAUUUGCUCUGUGAUCUCCAGCUUACAGCAGGUGCCAGAGCUCUCUUCGGGGCCGUACGUUCGUGCGUCUAUAUACACGCACCGUGAAAUAAAGCGGCCGCUUUGUCUUAUUUAAAACCAAAAGAAACAACAGAGAAAUGCUGAGGUUUUAAACGCUUCCUAUGUUUAUACGGCUUAGGCUCGGUCCGAAUGGAUUCUGCGUCAUUAUCAUGUUUCAACCUCUGUUUUCUCGGUGGUUUUAACGAGAUGCUUUGGUGCGAACUGCGCUGCCCGUCCUUCCUAAGCUGCGCUCCUCGGUCGGGUUAUAUUUGUACAUAUGGUGCGUGUAUGUGUGUAUGGUGCGUGUAUGUUUGUGCACGGUGUAUGCGUUAGAGUUGCACAGGUCGGAAGUAACUGCGUUCCCCAAACAGAGGAUGAGGUGCCAGCGCUUCACUGAAAGUGCAACGCUGAAUAUCACGGGAUUGACAUCUAUCGCCUCGAUCGCCCAUCAAAAGCCAAAACAAAACGGUAUCGCUGAGCGCACGGCUGAAGAGAUUGACCUCAACAGAGGAACGCGUCGCAGUCGUUGUGCCUCCUCACCUCCGCGCACCCAGCGCGAUGAGUCCAGCCUUAAUGACUCCAUAUUCCUUUCCCGUCGCCACACUCCAGCCACCCCCCGGCUCUCCCCAGCCAGCAGCCAGCCGACCCCUCCAGAUGGCGCCCCGGGAGGGAGCAGAGCCCGCAAAGAGCCGCGGGCUGAGCCCCGUGACGCGGGGCGAUGCCCUCACCCACCCCCGUGCGCUCCAACUCCCGCAGCCGGAGCGCAGCGCAGCAGCAGCGCCUCACUGUGAGACUCGGGGGGGGUUCACCUGGGAGAACUCCGGGCCGUUACAAAAACGCGUCCGGGGACUGUUUGUUGCAGAUCCCCCCGACCCGACAGGCACCGGGCGGGAGCGGAGCCCGGGGCUGCCCCGCGGGGCGAGAGGGGCCCUCGUCCCACCCCUCCGACAUAGGUGCAACGACGGAAAACGGCUUCAAAAAGACUCAAUAGCCACAGGGUCAGGCCGAGCCGCGCGGCCCGUGUAGCAGAAGCAGCGGAGGGCCGUCUGGGUGCGCGGCCCGGUGCGGCCGGGAGCCCACGGGAGCGUCCCGGGACAGCCGCUGUUCGCCGCUCCGCGCUGCUCUCCUUUUUCCUUUCGUCUCUAUGCCAGAGCGCUGGAAAGAAUUAAAUUCUUUAAAGGUUCGCAUUUGAAACCGUGACUGGAGUAAACUAAGGAUCAGGUGUAAAUAAUUACCAACGUCAGGAAAGCAGCGACUGCUGCAUGUGGUUUAUUCAUCGUUUUUUUUUUUUUUUUUCCCCUUUUCUCUUUUGAAUCGUUUGAUCAUUUCCAUCCUGAACUGUUUGCCAAAUUCGCGUCUCCUUAACGUGCUGAGAGCCCUCUGGUGCCCACAGCCCGGAUCGGGUCGGUACCAUCCGUGCUGACCGAAGGACGCUGCCCGUUCGCAAACGCCACCAGAGCCUCUCGGCUGACGGCGGCGUGGAGCACGUGAGUUACGGAGCACAAUAAAUGGUUCGAAUACAACGGAGCCAAAAUCGAACGGGAGAGCUCCGCGGGGCGGGACAGGCGGGGUUCGGCCCGAACGCACGGAAAUGGAAGCAACCGUGGAACAAAAGCCGCCGAGAAAAGGGAGAAACGCGGCCACGGAUCACAAUCCAUACAAACAAAAGCCCGGGGCUGAUCCCACCCUUCCAUCCGCGUUCACUUCUGCCCGCGUCCACCUCUCUUUUUGCCUACGCUGCAGUUGGAACCCGUUUGUCUCUUCAGAAAGCCGCGGUGGGAAAAAGGCAGAGAAAGGACCUCUUUCUCGUGUGUGUCCUCUUUUAAAAUCUCCCUGCACACCGAGACACCACCGGAGCAUGUUCUGGUGCUGUAAACGUGUUUUUAUCACGCCGUAAAUUCCUGCCCCUCUGACAGAGCGGCCGGAAAUGUAAAUCACACCGUGGAGCUGAAGUUAUGAAGAAGUUCGUUACGUUUCUGCGUCCUAAGGAGGAUCGCGGCUCUGCGGGGUCGGUGGAGGGGGGGCUGGGGAAAGGGGGGGGGGGAAGGGGGGGCUGGGUGAGGUUGUUUCCUAUUCUCCCGCUCCGCCGAACUGUGGCUCCGCGGUGCCGGGGACUUUGAUGGGAAGGAGCGGACAAUGUGCAGAGUCCCUGCCUGUGACACCCAGGCCACCGCCACUUGGGAGGUCUUUCGGCCUAAUGCAUCCACAGCUAACUGCUCCCAACAGGAGGCUCUGCGGAUCAGCCGGGGUCACAAUUACACUUCUGCUAAAGGCAGGGGCUUAAAGAAAAAAAAAAAUGGAGGGAGAGAGAGAGGAAAGAGGGCUGGGCGAGCGGUGGAAUUAAAGCUUCUCACUUCAUCUGAGGAAGGAAAGGCCGAGAGCGAGCGAGGAUAGCAGGACUCGUUCACAUGAGGCGUACGCGGGGGGGAGGUGGGAUCGCUCCGUCGCGGAGGCCGUGUGCCCGGGGACCGCCUGGCCGGAGGGCUGAGACGGCACCGCGCCGCCGUGGGGGGGGG
ensembl:lncRNA